CAUUAUGAUGAUCAUUUCGUAUAUAUAUACGCUGGAAAUUACCGUCUGAGACCUUCUUUGACGACAAUUAAAUGGCUAUUACUGAUU
rnacentral:snoRNA from 1 species